rnacentral:rRNA from 2 species
GGGUUGUGAGGUUAAGUGACUAAGCGUACACGGUGGAUGCCUAGGCAGUCAGAGGCGAUGAAGGGCGUGCUAAUCUGCGAAAAGCGUCGGUAAGGUGAUAUGAACCGUUAUAAC